rnacentral:rRNA from 1 species
GGGUUGUGAGGUUAAGCGACUAAGCGUACACGGUGGAUGCCCUGGCAGUCAGAGGCGAUGAAGGACGUGCUAAUCUGCGAUAAGCGUCGGUAAGGUGAUAUGAACCGUUAUAACCGGCGAUUUCCGAAUGGGGAAACCCAGUGUGAUUCGUCACACUAUCAUUAACUGAAUCCAUAGGUUAAUGAGGCGAACCGGGGGAACUGAAACAUCUAAGUACCCCGAGGAAAAGAAAUCAACCGAGAUUCCCCCAGUAGCGGCGAGCGAACGGGGAGCAGCCCAGAGCCUGAAUCAGUGUGUGUGUUAGUGGAAGCGUCUGGAAAGGCGUGCGAUACAGGGUGACAGCCCCGUACACAAAAAUGCACAUAUUGUGAGCUCGAUGAGUAGGGCGGGACACGUGGUAUCCUGUCUGAAUAUGGGGGGACCAUCCUCCAAGGCUAAAUACUCCUGACUGACCGAUAGUGAACCAGUACCGUGAGGGAAAGGCGAAAAGAACCCCGGCGAGGGGAGUGAAAAAGAACCUGAAACCGUGUACGUACAAGCAGUGGGAGCACGCUUAGGCGUGUGACUGCGUACCUUUUGUAUAAUGGGUCAGCGACUUAUAUUCUGUAGCAAGGUUAACCGAAUAGGGGAGCCGAAGGGAAACCGAGUCUUAACUGGGCGUUAAGUUGCAGGGUAUAGACCCGAAACCCGGUGAUCUAGCCAUGGGCAGGUUGAAGGUUGGGUAACACUAACUGGAGGACCGAACCGACUAAUGUUGAAAAAUUAGCGGAUGACUUGUGGCUGGGGGUGAAAGGCCAAUCAAACCGGGAGAUAGCUGGUUCUCCCCGAAAGCUAUUUAGGUAGCGCCUCGUGAAUUCAUCUCCGGGGGUAGAGCACUGUUUCGGCAAGGGGGUCAUCCCGACUUACCAACCCGAUGCAAACUGCGAAUACCGGAGAAUGUUAUCACGGGAGACACACGGCGGGUGCUAACGUCCGUCGUGAAGAGGGAAACAACCCAGACCGCCAGCUAAGGUCCCAAAGUCAUGGUUAAGUGGGAAACGAUGUGGGAAGGCCCAGACAGCCAGGAUGUUGGCUUAGAAGCAGCCAUCAUUUAAAGAAAGCGUAAUAGCUCACUGGUCGAGUCGGCCUGCGCGGAAGAUGUAACGGGGCUAAACCAUGCACCGAAGCUGCGGCAGCGACGCUUAUGCGUUGUUGGGUAGGGGAGCGUUCUGUAAGCCUGUGAAGGUGUGCUGUGAGGCAUGCUGGAGGUAUCAGAAGUGCGAAUGCUGACAUAAGUAACGAUAAAGCGGGUGAAAAGCCCGCUCGCCGGAAGACCAAGGGUUCCUGUCCAACGUUAAUCGGGGCAGGGUGAGUCGACCCCUAAGGCGAGGCCGAAAGGCGUAGUCGAUGGGAAACAGGUUAAUAUUCCUGUACUUGGUGUUACUGCGAAGGGGGGACGGAGAAGGCUAUGUUGGCCGGGCGACGGUUGUCCCGGUUUAAGCGUGUAGGCUGGUUUUCCAGGCAAAUCCGGAAAAUCAAGGCUGAGGCGUGAUGACGAGGCACUACGGUGCUGAAGCAACAAAUGCCCUGCUUCCAGGAAAAGCCUCUAAGCAUCAGGUAACAUCAAAUCGUACCCCAAACCGACACAGGUGGUCAGGUAGAGAAUACCAAGGCGCUUGAGAGAACUCGGGUGAAGGAACUAGGCAAAAUGGUGCCGUAACUUCGGGAGAAGGCACGCUGAUAUGUAGGUGAAGUCCCUCGCGGAUGGAGCUGAAAUCAGUCGAAGAUACCAGCUGGCUGCAACUGUUUAUUAAAAACACAGCACUGUGCAAACACGAAAGUGGACGUAUACGGUGUGACGCCUGCCCGGUGCCGGAAGGUUAAUUGAUGGGGUCAGCGCAAGCGAAGCUCUUGAUCGAAGCCCCGGUAAACGGCGGCCGUAACUAUAACGGUCCUAAGGUAGCGAAAUUCCUUGUCGGGUAAGUUCCGACCUGCACGAAUGGCGUAAUGAUGGCCAGGCUGUCUCCACCCGAGACUCAGUGAAAUUGAACUCGCUGUGAAGAUGCAGUGUACCCGCGGCAAGACGGAAAGACCCCGUGAACCUUUACUAUAGCUUGACACUGAACAUUGAGCCUUGAUGUGUAGGAUAGGUGGGAGGCUUUGAAGUGUGGACGCCAGUCUGCAUGGAGCCGACCUUGAAAUACCACCCUUUAAUGUUUGAUGUUCUAACGUUGACCCGUGAUCCGGGUUGCGGACAGUGUCUGGUGGGUAGUUUGACUGGGGCGGUCUCCUCCUAAAGAGUAACGGAGGAGCACGAAGGUUGGCUAAUCCUGGUCGGACAUCAGGAGGUUAGUGCAAUGGCAUAAGCCAGCUUGACUGCGAGCGUGACGGCGCGAGCAGGUGCGAAAGCAGGUCAUAGUGAUCCGGUGGUUCUGAAUGGAAGGGCCAUCGCUCAACGGAUAAAAGGUACUCCGGGGAUAACAGGCUGAUACCGCCCAAGAGUUCAUAUCGACGGCGGUGUUUGGCACCUCGAUGUCGGCUCAUCACAUCCUGGGGCUGAAGUAGGUCCCAAGGGUAUGGCUGUUCGCCAUUUAAAGUGGUACGCGAGCUGGGUUUAGAACGUCGUGAGACAGUUCGGUCCCUAUCUGCCGUGGGCGCUGGAGAACUGAGGGGGGCUGCUCCUAGUACGAGAGGACCGGAGUGGACGCAUCACUGGUGUUCGGGUUGUCAUGCCAAUGGCACUGCCCGGUAGCUAAAUGCGGAAGAGAUAAGUGCUGAAAGCAUCUAAGCACGAAACUUGCCCCGAGAUGAGUUCUCCCUGACUCCUUGAGAGUCCUGAAGGAACGUUGAAGACGACGACGUUGAUAGGCCGGGUGUGUAAGCGCAGCGAUGCGUUGAGCUAACCGGUACUAAUGAACCGUGAGGCUUAACCUUACAACGCCGAAGGUGUUU